CGGAGGGGCUAGCGUUGUUCGGAAUUACUGGGCGUAAAGCGCACGUAGGCGGAUUGGUAAGUCAGAGGUGAAAUCCCGGGGCUCAACCCCGGAACUGCCUUUGAAACUCCCAGUCUUGAGGUCGAGAGAGGUGAGUGGAAUUCCGAGUGUAGAGGUGAAAUUCGUAGAUAUUCGGAGGAACACCAGUGGCGAAGGCGGCUCACUGGCUCGAUACUGACGCUGAGGUGCGAAAGCGUGGGGAGCAAACAGGAUU
rnacentral:rRNA from 1 species